AUGGGGAGUUGAUGAAAAUCCAAGGGCCCUUUAUGUGCCGGGGACCUUGGAGUGCCUUCCCACAUCCUGUCCCACUCCCUCCCACGUGCAGAGAGAUAAGGUGUAUUAUCCUCACCUGAUGGGGGCCCUUGUGUCCCACAAAGGCUAAUUAAUUUCUGCAAGGUCCCACCGCAGAGUGAGACGCAUUUGCUGAGACUCGUUCUGAGACCGGAUCUGGGGUGGAAUCAUCCAGGCCUCACCCAGCUCUGAAAGGAAGACGCUGUGCAGCCGUGCAGAUGGAGGAGGGGGAUGGAGCAAGGAUGCAGGUGGCCGCCAGAUCCCAGAUGAGGCAGAACAGUCUUCCCCUCGAGCCUCCAGAAGGAGCCCGGCUGGCACCGGGGUUUGGCCCAGUGAGACCCUUUUGGGCCUUCGAAGCUUUAGAAAUGCACGAGAAUGCAUUUGUGUUGCUUUAAGCCACCAGGCUGUGGGUGUUUUGUCACAGCAGCAACAGGAAACGAAGACACCAGGGCACGGAACUUUCGGGGCUAAAACCUGAAAAGUCCUGGGCAAACCGACACAAGAUGGUGCCCCCAGACUCGGGCACUUUCUGUUGGCUGAGCGGAUGGAAGUCGACGGCCGCCGUCCUUCCCAGGGGCUCGCGGGGAGGCUGUCAGCCAGGCAGUUGUAACCAAGAGGAGGGACUGCGUCUCUCAGAGCUCUCCGUCUGGGUCAAUGCUCCAACUCAGGAAGUUUGUCCUGCCAGCAUUUUCAUCCCCUCCGCCCAUCUCCACGUUGCAGAAGCUCUAUUCCAGGCAAGUGCAGCCCAAGAGGACUGGUUUUUCCUUCCCCCAUCCAGCUCCCACUUAGAGGGUGAAAGCUCUAUCCCAGGCAUGGCAAGCUCAGAGUACUGGGGCUACAACCACCUCCUGUGCAGCUCCAUGCCAGGAAGGACAAAUCAAGAAAACCAAGGGCUGCCGCCACCAUCCCAAUGCCUGCUUGGAGAGCAGAACUCAUUCCAGGGAAAGUGGGCCCCUGAUACCAGCUUCUCUGCCUUGGUGCAGUGCUUCUGUCCAGGGGGAAAGGAAAACCACAAGUAUGAAGAGCUCGGCAGCUCUGCCCGAGAGGACUGACCAUUUGUAAUAGAUUGUGGCCAGAACUCCAUGCCCAAGGGCAUUGGUGAAAAUAUUGGUGAUUUGGUGAAGAGCAGUCAAGAGGUAGUUCCAUAUGCAAGCAAAUGACAGAGCAGCCAGAAGUUUAAUAUAAAGAACCAGGGAAGGAGACAGUCUGGAAGAGCCUCCUAGCAACAAACUCAAGCCUGUGGCUCAAAAAUUUGGGCACAUAUGCUAGGCCGCACCACUCAGGAGCAGUCAAAGAAGAUGUGGGGGCAGACUCAAAAGUUUCCCAGGUUUUCUUGGUAGUGGUGUUAUUUGCUGUCUUUAAUAGUAUAUUGUAUUGUAUGAGAUGUUAUUUUUCUUUUUAUCAUUUUUUUCUUAUUGCUAAAAAAAGGAAAACAAUU